rnacentral:sRNA from 1 species
GCUGGGUGUACUGGUGCAUGCCUGAAAUCCCAGCUACUCAGAAGGCUGAGGCAGGAGGAUCAUAAAUUUGAGACCAGCUUCAGCAAUUUAGUGAGAUCCUGUCUCAA